UACGGAGGGGGCUAGCGUUGUUCGGAAUUACUGGGCGUAAAGCGUACGUAGGCGGCUUUGUAAGUUAGAGGUGAAAGCCCGGGGCUCAACUCCGGAAUUGCCUUUAAGACUGCAUCGCUUGAAUCAUGGAGAGGUUAGUGGAAUUCCGAGUGUAGAGGUGAAAUUCGUAGAUAUUCGGAAGAACACCAGUGGCGAAGGCGACUAACUGGACAUGUAUUGACGCUGAGGUACGAAAGCGUGGGGAGCAAACAGGG
rnacentral:rRNA from 1 species